UACGUAGGGGGCAAGCGUUGUCCGGAAUCAUUGGGCGUAAAGAGCGUGUAGGCGGCCCGGUAAGUCCGCUGUGAAAGUCCAGGGCUCAACCCUGGGAUGCCGGUGGAUACUGUCGGGCUCGAGUCCGGAAGAGGAGUGUGGAAUUCCUGGUGUAGCGGUGGAAUGCGUAGAGCUCCGGAGGAACACCAGUGGCGAAGGCGGCCGCCGCUGGGCCAGCUCCGUCGACGCUGAGCCGCGAAAGCGUGGGGAGCGAUCCGG
rnacentral:rRNA from 1 species